GGAAAUGACGCAAAACAUGUGUGAAAAAACGGACAAAUAUACAAGUGUAGAAUGACAAAAUGAAGAAUGAGUGAAGAAGGAGCACAUGUGGUUUUUGGCAAAGUUCCAGGGCGUAGCGGGGGGCGGUGGUGCGGCCGACAUUUCACGGGU
ensembl:ncRNA C01B9.6 ncRNA